rnacentral:rRNA from 1 species
GACGAACCGUGCGAACGUUAUUCGGAAUCACUGGGCUUAAAGCGCGUGUAGGCGGGCCGCCACGUCGGUUGCUGAAAGCCCCCGGCUCAACCGGGGAACGGGCACCGAUACGGGCGGCCUGGAGGGGAGUAGGGGGACCUGGAACUUCCGGUGGAGCGGUGAAAUGCGUUGAGAUCGGAAGGAACGCCCGUGGCGAAAGCGAGGUCCUGGGCUCCUGCUGACGCUGAGACGCGAAAGCCAGGGGAGCGAACGGG